rnacentral:lncRNA from 1 species
AAUUGAGAUUUGAAUUUUAAAAUUACAUACACAAACACACCCGAUUUAAAAAAAAAUAAUAAUAAUGCUAACAAUAAAAUAUUUCAGCCGUCCUAUGUGUUAUCGCCAAAAACGGAUUUCCAAUCUAUUACAACAUGAGGUAUAUGAGUUAACAAGUCCCAAUAUUGUCCUCCAUCCUUUCUGCACUUCUCUGCUAUCAACGGACAUCCUGCGAUCUGUAAUUGCAAAAGUGAGGAAGGCAGGCCCUUCUCCGGAAAGUAUUUGAGCUUGGGACAAUUAUGGAGUCGCAAUACAGUGAGGUUUUGAAGAUCAACAAUUGAAGAAGAUAGGCGUUCCAGAUUUGGAAAAUUGAAAAUCUCCAGAGACGUUAGAGAGGCAGGAAGAGGAAGCGCGGUCCCUAAUCUUUUGUCCUCUAGUGGAAAUGACACCAUGUCCUCAUCACAUCCACUGAUUAAAAGACGUUGCAGAGAGGAGAAUCUGUGAAAUCCCCGUCCCCGCUCAAUCAUUGACUUCCAAAUCUCCAUAUUACCCCAAAUAUCAAGUGACUGAAGGUUGGUGGGAAGGCCAUCUUCUUCUUCAAGGCUUGGAAGCGCACCUCCUUUUCCUAUUGUUAAUUCUUGAAGAGAGCUCAGAUUGUGCAUUCCCUUGGGUAAGGCCUCUAGUCUCUUACAAUUAGAUAUCGCCAGCCUCCUGAGUUUCGCACAAGGCAAUCCCCCUUCGGGAAAGGACACCAGAUUUUUACAACUAUCUAUGCUGAUUGUUUCAAGAGAUGUGUUGUUGUCCAACCUUUCUGCUAUUGACUUCAGCUUUGAACAACUCCAAACAACGAGGGACUUAAGAGACGAAGGUAGAUUGCCAACUUCAAGGGACUCAAGCCUGGCAGGUAACUCGUUUUUUGAAAAUAUACAUGUCAGAGAUGGACAACUAAUAAUUUCUAAGUGCUCGAGAAGAGAUGAGGUGUACCUUCUGCUGCUGCUGCUGCUGCUACACUGGAUACCCUCUUCCGCUGUCAAAGUCCUUAUAUUAUCGCAAUUGUAAAUCUCCAACUGCUUAAGGCUCGGUGGUAGCUGGACCGCAACAAUAUAUGUCAACGAAUGGCAAUCCUCAAUAUUCAAGAUCUCGAGAGACGAAUUGGUGUCGCACCUCCAUGCCUCUGGUAACGAUUUCAGUGCGUGACAUUCUCUAAUCUUAACUUUCUUCAACUUGGAAGGCAGAGCAACCUCAGGAAAGGAAACAAGGGAACUGCACUUGUAGAUUGCUAUCUCUCUCAAGGAACUGAGGCUGAACGAUGAUUGUGGCAGCUUCACAAGGCUUUCGCAAUCACUCAAUUCUAGAUAUUCAAGUCUGCAUGACAACUCGCAGAGCUGCUGUUGUUGGUCUUUCUCUUCCUCCGCGACCAAGGAUUGAAGUUUGGGACAGCUUGUAAUCAGCAGUCUUUUGAGAGAGCAAAUGUCUUGCAGUAAUUCGUUAUGACUCUUCCAUAUAUAUGUUUCAUUUUUAAUAUUUUUUAUCUCCAAUUCUUCCAGUUUUGGUAUUCGCGGCUUCAAUGGCCCUGCGAGAAACACUUGAUUUGAUGUAUCUCUACAAACCACUGAAUUCUGUGAGCCGAGAUGAUCAGUUGCACUACUCCACACAAUCUUUUUACAUCCACCAAUUUCAAAUUUGCAAAGAGCUGGAAGACUUGCAACUGAAACUAGCAAUUCUUCACAUCCUUCAAUUACAAGCAUCUCCAAUGCAGGAAGGUGUUCUGGAAAUGUUCCUUGCAGCUUAGAACAGCUUAUAAUAUGAAGCUCUCUCAAUUUAGGAAACCCUUCAACUCCCUGACCAGAUCUAAGAGGAAUCCAGUCUUCCCAUUCUUGCAUGUCUUGAAAACGAAGAGUCUCCAAGCAUGGAAAAGGAAUCGGGGAAUCAUUCCCAUAGAACUCUGAACCCAAACUCUUUACUCUACUCAUUCCACGCACUUCAAGAUGCUUUAAAGAGGGUAGUUGCCCGACUGACGGCAGGGCAGUACACAUGCCGCAAUCUUCAAAUUUAAGUGUUACUAAAUUUGAGAAUGAGGAAUCUCCUAACCAUGUUGGAAAUUUUGUACCUCCAUAGCCACAGAUACCAAAUUGUUCCAGAUUUUUAUGGGGUUUGAGCAUGUCAAGCACACCCAUUUCAGUUUCUGCCUCCCUUGAAGAUGAACCAUCGGUACUGCGUGUCCAUCGAAGCAAUAAUUCUCUAAGAUUCUCCUUUACAUCCAAUUGAGCCUCCUUCGCAUUACCAACGUCUUUUACGUUCUCCAAUUUUGAAAUUUCAAGUGGCCCACGAAGAUGCAUCAAUAACUUUAGCUCUGAUAACCCCGAACCACUGUCUUUUCCCACAACAAAAUUACACAACGUCUGAAGACUAGUCAAUCUACCAAUUCCUACUGGCAUUUCCUCCAACGACUUCGUAUUUGAAUUCUUAAGAUGAUGCAAUUUGGUGAGGUUUCCCAUGUCUGCACACAACUUCUUCAGCCGAUCACAAUCUUCCAAGAAAAGACUAUGCAAAUUGUAAAGCUUGUUGACUGAUUCAGGCAGAGUUCUAAUCAUAGUUCCAGAUAGGUUGAGGUAUCUUAAAUACCUCAAAUCACCAAUUGAAUCCGUUAGCUCAUACAUGCAAUAUCCACGCAAAGAGAAGACCCUCAACCGUUGGAGUUUGAACAACUUGGGGAGAAUGCUACGAGCCAAGUAUCCAUGCCACCUAUUUGACAAUGCUACUGGUAAAAAAGUUCGCAAAUGGUGGAUAUCAUGCAAGUCCUCAAACCUUUGAACGCCAUCACAAUAUCCACGAAUGUAUGACAGGUGACGAAAAUUUUUGGAAAAACUUUGUUGCUUGUUAACCUCUGAGUUAUACUCCAUUGUGAAGUAUAUCUCCCCCGCAGCCCAUUGAGCAAGGUCGUUGACAAGGUCGUGCAUCACAAAUCGUGAUUUAUUGUUGCUUGAUUGCUGGAAAAAAGAUCUUGAACGUAGCUCUUGAAAGAACUUUCGACCUAGAUCUUCAUUAGGAUUCCCACUCUCUUUGUGAUCCAAGAAACCCGAGGCACACCAUAAUAAAAUUAUCUCCUCCUCUUCAAAUUCAUAAUCCUUUGGAAACAAUGAGCAGUAUGCAAAGCAUUGUUUCAAAGGUGCCGAAAGAUAAUAGUAGCUCACUGCAAGGGCUGGUAUAAUACCACAUCUCUCUUCUGGUAAUUCCCAUAUCUUGCUACUGAGCACAUCUUCCCACUCACUUCUGUCAUGAUUCCCACGUAAAAGUCCUCCAAGUGUUUGUGCUGCCAAGGGCAAGCCAUCGCAUUUGGUCACUAUCUUCUUGCCGAUUUCCUCCAGUGACUUAUGUGAACUGAAAUCUCUCGUCCCCAAUGAAUGUUGAACGAAUACAGCUAGACAAUCAUUAUCUGACAACUUCUUUAAUUGAUAAGCCGGAACAGUACCCAUAAUUUUAGCAACCUCUUGAUUGCGAGUAGUGACAAUAAUUUUACUUCCCGGUGCGCCAAGUUCAAAGGGACGUCUGAGUUGAUCCCAAUCAUCGUAAUUCCGGUUCCACACGUCAUCUAAAAGAAGCAAAAACUUCUUUCCAGAUAGUUGCUUAUUCAGUUUCUCUUGAAGUGAAUUCAAGUUGAGAUUAUCUACGUUCUGGUCAGCAACAAUGGAUGUUAAGAUUGUUUUUGUUAGCCUGAUAACGUCGAAAUCAUCAGAGACACAAGUCCAUGCCUUGAGAUCAAAAUGAUCCACCACUUGCUUAUCAUUGUAGACAAGCUGAGCAAGAGUGGUUUUGCCCAGCCCACCCAUACCUACAAUAGGUAUAACGGAGAAUCCACCAUCGUUGCUUAAAUCAUCCCUCAACAGCAGUUCAACAACAUCCUUCUUUUCGAUUUCCCUGCCAUAUACUUUGGCUUCCUUCACCAAAGAGGUUGUCUCUCGCCUUUUCCUGUCUUUUGUGGUCCUCCCACCCGAACUUACAUUCAAACCCAGCGAGUCCUUCUGUGUUACAAUAUCUUGAAAUCUGCCAUUGAUCUCUUUGAUUUUGGACAUCAUGGCGUAAUCGAACUGAAUCGAUUGUGGAGUAAAAGUGGUGCAGCAAGUAGGAAUGAGCUUCCGAAACUUACUUGUUCUUGUACGACUGCUACUGGGUUGAUCAUGAGCCGCAGCUGGAUCUCCAUUUCCAAGCAGCAACUUCCUCCGGAAAGCCUCAGUUUGAAACUCAUCCAGCAAGUCUUCAACAUCAAAAGCCAAGUUCUGAAGCUCGCCAAGCCACAACUUUACAGACUGAUCAGUCUUCUUCUCCUCAGCAUCGGCAAGCACCGCCUUGAUUAUCACCAACAUAUUCUUCCACUUCUUUAGAUCGGCUUGGAUUUGCUCUUGGCGUGCAAACAGCCGAAUCCCCUCCGAAGCUAACUUAUUGACCAGCAAAUCAACGGACGCCGUAAGGAUUGCCUCUCCGAUGAAUGACAUUUUUUUCUUCUUUUUCUUUUUUUUUGGUUUUGCAAAGAAAGAAAGGAGCAGAAUUAUGGGUUAUGGAAAGCAGAAUGAGAAAAUGGAUAAUUAAGCAGAAUGAGUUUGUGAUUGUGAAGGGUCUGGCCCAGCAAGCUUAGUAGAAAUCACGCGUUUAUACUUUAUUGACCAAUGACUAAUAAUUUGGCAAUUCACUCAUCACCACCACUUGGUAAGCAAAAUGAAAAUGCUUAGUAAUUAAGUGUCAAGGGUCAAGCAAAAUACGACGUAAAAUGUGUCAAGGGUCUCUCCACUACUUGUUCCUUGCAGCUUAGAAAAGAAAAACAGAGCCCACCACCCAUUAAUAAUUUAGCAAUUCACCAAUCAUCACCACUUGUUACGAAACCAUCUCAUAAACCAAGUUCGUAGGUCGAGCAGUUAAUCCAGUGUCUAUGUCCUAGAACCUUCAUCUCAUAAACCAAGUUCAAUCAAAACGUUCCUCUCUAUAUUUUUUUUUUUUCAAAACUCCUAAAACGUUUCUUUUUAGAGACAUUUUACUUUAUUCAUCUCAUAUGUUAUCUAGCAAAUAGACACAAUUGAAAUCACUCUAAAGUGAAGAUGAAAGGGGAAACAAAUAACCUUCCGACCACCAGUAAUUUAGCAAGCUUCACUUUAUUCCACCAAAGUGUAAAUAAAGCCAGCCCCCACCACCAUCAAUAAUUUUGCAAGCUUCACACGCUUGUUGUCUUCUCCUUGACGAACUGGACAUGAGUGCACCAAGAAUCAAUGACAGAAUUUUAAAAAUAAUAAUAAGAGAAAAACCUACAAAUUUUCGACUUAGAGUAGAACCUUAAUUAAUGCUAAAAUCUACUCAGCUAACAUUUUCAAAAUAUUGUUCUUUAUGAUUUCCAAAACCGUGAUUAAGGUUCAUCUCAAAUGUUUGAAGAGAGUCUAUCAGUUCUUCUACGUUAAGAAUAUCAAAAUUCUUGCUUUUUCUUCAAAUGUUGAAUAAUAAAAAAAAAAAGUUGAAUAUGGAGGAAAAUAGAAUGCAUCCAUCUUCGCUGCUGUAGAAGUCUUCUACUUAUAAAAGUAAGUUAGAAUAAACAAUUUUAAUCUCUCUUUUUAUUCCUACAAGUGCACUACAUUUUUUUUUUAAUCUCAAUGCAAAGUCGUAUCGAAAUGUUAUAUUCCUAUUGUAAAACAAAAUUUUAGAUAAAACAAAUUCGACUCAUUUUUUAAAGAUAUAUAUUUAGUAGGUUACCAACAUAACUAACAAAACGUGAUUAUUACACUAAAUGAAAUAAAUGACAGUACUAUCACCAAUAAUUUAGCAAGUUUCGCAUGCAUGUGUUUCUAAAAACAUUAUAUGGAAUCAAACAACAGUGAUACAAAGAGAAAAGUAGAAAUCCUCUGAUUAUAUUUUUUUUUUCUUUUUCAAAAGAAAUGGUGGGGUUGGUUUGUUUGCAAAGUUAUUAGCGAGGGUCUAUUUGUUUUUGUUUUAACUUUAUUAAUCAAUAAGCAAACAUGUAAUGAUUUGUAUAUAUCACUAGCAUCACAUUAUUGGGAGGUAUUGCGCUUAAUAUUCACAAUUUUUGUAAGAUGAAUUUGUAAGACUAAUUAAUUUUGAUGAAAAUGUAUCGUUACUAAGAUAUUAUUUAAUUCAUUAAGUUAACUUGAGGUAUUAAUAUUUACUAAUUGUGGUGCUGAUUAAUUUAUUUAACUUGUCACUAUUUGCAAUUAAGAAUGAAGUUCAAUCAAUUUAUUGAGUAAAAAAAAAACAAAGAUGCAUUUUUUUCUUUAGAUUUUAAUUCUUAGGAUUUGAUUUCACGCUCUUUUGUUUUUUUACGUUGCUAAAGAGGCAGUAAAAAGUUUGCUGAAUGUCAUCAAAUACUUGUAUCUCAUCUCACAAAUUGGUAAUAUUUGUUUGGUAUUUCAUCUCAACAGACGCAGUAAGGAUUACCUCUCCAAUGACUGACAUUUUUUUUUUUUUUUUGGGGACAAAGAAAGAAACAGAAUUUUGAGUUUCGAAAAGCAAAAUAAGAAAAUUGAGCAGUAAGUGUGAAGGGUCAAGCAAAAUGCAUGUAGCAAGUCUUCGACUUGUUGUUUAUCCCACUAAAGUGAAAAUAAAAACAGAGCCCACGACCCCUUAAUAAUUGAGCAAUUCACCAAUUACGAGUCACCACCACUCGUUACCAUGAAUAUAAUAAAUUGCACCUUGAUAUUUGCAGGGUCCAGCAACAUUGACCUAGUGUCCGGGUAAAUGCUGAAUAAAGAGGAAAAUGGAAUGUAUCCACUCCGAACCUUCGCUUUACAACAAUUUUUAAGAAUCACAAUGGUAAUUCCUACUAUCAUGUUAUCUUAAUGUCGUGUUAAAAUAAAUUAUAAUAUAUUUUUUAUAUGAACACUCUUUUCAUUUAUAAAUUUUUAAGUUUCUAAUAUUUUUCUCAUUUUUUUAAUCUUAAUAUUUAUAUUCCUCUCUUCAAAUUUUUUUAUUAUUUAAUUUUUAAAGAAAAAUAUGAAAAAAAUAAGAAAAACAUUAUACUUAGAAAAUAAUUAAUAUUUUAUGGGUCUAAUGCAAUUUUGUCUCACCUAUAAAUUUUUUUGUUUAGCAAUUAGUUUGAGAAUCUUAAAAAAUUAUUUGCAGUAGGAUAAAAUUUAAUUUAAUUUAUUUUUUUACUGUAUUGUAUCUUAAUUAAUUAAGUUGUUAUGUUUAUUACAAGAAUUUUGUUUUGGCUUAGAGGAUUGCUUCUUAAAUUCAUAUUAUUUUAAUGAUAAUAAAAGAUAUUUAUAUUGUGCAAGCAAAAUAAAAUGAAGAGAGAAAGAAAAUAUAAAUGACUUAAUUCUAUUUAUAUUUGUCCUCAAAUGUAAUUGUAGUAUAAUAGGAGUUUUAUAAGAUUAAUGAAGGGGUGCCAAUAGUCGUACUCUUAUAGAAAAUGACUGUAAUAAUAGUGGAAAUUUAGUGUAAUAAAAAGGAUAAACCGUAAGAAAUUAAUGUUUACUUCAAGAUACGUUAUAAUUAUUGUUUUUCUUAAGAUGUUAUUUGCCUCCACCAAUCGAAUGAUGCACAUGAAUUAAGCAAAAAUGCCUCCAUGAUACAAUAAAAUGCUUAUUUAUUUGUUUACGUUAUAUGUCGACGAAGCAAACUUGAAUACUUUUUAAUGUUGUAAGCGUGCCAAAAAUCAAUAUAUUAUUUCUACAAAAAGAAACAAUAUAUUAGAUAUUUAAAGUAGAAAAAAUAGAUGUUGAUUGAUGAAAUUUUAUUUAGGAAAGACAGCUAAGAAAAGAAUGGUGUAACGCCAUUUUAUUCAUGUCUAAAUAGCCUAAAUAUGACCUCUAUUUAUAUAUACACUUAUGCCCUAUUAUUUGGAUUGUCGUUCUUUUAUAAUACUCGUUCAUUCAUGGUCAUUAGCUCAAACAAUCGAAUUCCUACUAUAGCUAAUUAACUUAUUGACCAGCAACUUAAAGGAUGCCAUAAGGAUUGCCUCUUUGAUUAUUGACGUUUUUUUUCUCUCUUUUUUGGUUUUUUUUUGGGUUUUGGGGGGGGGGGGGGGGGGGGGGGGGGGGGGUUAUGGAAAUUAAAGCAUAUAAGAAAGUCAAUUACAGCGGAAUGAGUUUGUGAUUGUGAAAUGUCGAGCAAGUCUAGAAACUAAUUAGGCAAAACCCACCACGAAAGCUAAAAAGGAAAAAUAGCGCCCACCACAAAUAUAAAAUUGGAGGAGAUCAGGAUCAUUCCUUUGCUUUACAUAUUAAAUUAAAUAAAGGAAAAUGAUAAACGAACUCAAUGAAGACAAAACGACGAUAAAAAUGUAACUUUAAAUUGCCGAUUCACGCGUUAGAUUUUUCUACUUUUAAACUUGCGUGGACCCACAAGAAAUAAAAAAAAAUGAAAAAAUGAUGGUCAUUUCUGGUAACUCUCCAAAAAAUAAUAAAAUAAAGAAAAAAGGAAUGAAAAGCUGGUCAUUUCUCCCCCUCACUUCGGCCAUUAUCAUCCUUGUUUCGCUGGUGAAACGCUCUCGAAAAAUUUGUAGACAAAUCAGAGUAAAGGGAAACAACUUUGGAAAUGUUUCUCACGCUCUCAACUACAGCAAGCAGUGAAUUGCAUCAGAUAUUAGUGAAGAAUAAUUGCCAACCGUAAACUCAGCUCCUUCAGUUGCUAGUGUAUACCAAUAGAGCAAUAGGUUGUGUUUGGGGAUGUUAGAUGUAGAAAUAAUUGAGGCAAAAUUCUUUUAUGCAAUUGUUGGCUUGUGUCGACUUUUUGAAAGGAAACUUAUUUUUGGGCUGUCAAUGUUACUUAUUUGUUAGUUUAUUUCUUAGGUUUUGUUGUUUGGGAUAUUAUGUAUUGGAUUUCAUUUCCUUUUGCCUCUGGUAUGGCCCCUAAUAGAACUUGAUGUUAUUCUUUUUGGGAUAUGUUUUUCUGAAUUAGAGAUGACAUCAUUAGCAUCUGGUCUUUCUCUUUGAGACAGCCGAGAGAGUGAGGUGCCGUGAGAGAUGCAAUCGAUGGGGGAGAGAGAGAGAGGGAGCCGACAGUGAGAGCUCAGAUGCUGAAUGGAGUGAAGCGACAGACAAAGGGACCCACGUUUCUGUCGUCCUUUGUCGUCGCAGAGUUCAAAUAGCAGAACUCUUAAAUAAAAGCCAAACUAAGAACCUUGCCUUUGCUCAACAUGAUUAAUUAGGCACUACUUUAGAAAAAACACGAAAGUAAUAAAUCUUGUAUUAAUCUUAAAUUUUAGGACUAAAGCUACAUUUUUUUUUUUUUUUGUUUUGCAAAGAAAGAAACAGAAUUUUGAGUUUUGAAAGCAAAAUGAGAAAAUUGAACAGUAAGUGUGGAGGGUCAAGCCAAAUGCGCGUAACAGGUCUUCCGCUUGCUGUCUAUUCCAGUACAGAGCCCACCACCCAUUAAUAAUUGAGCAAUUCACCAAUCACCAAUCUGGCAGUCACCACCCCUCGUUACCAUGAAUAUAAUGAAUUGCACCUUGAUAUUUGCAGGGUCCAUCAACAUUGACCCGGUGUCUGGGUUAAUGCUGAAAAAUAUGAAAAAAAGAAAAAAAAAUAUUAUACUUAGAAAAUAAUUAAUAUUUUAUGGGUCUAAUGUAAUUUUGUCUCACCUAUAAAUUUUUUUAUUUAGCAAUUAGUUUGAGAAUCUUAAAAAAUUAUUUGCAGUAGGAUAAAAUUUUAUUUAAUUUAUUUUUUUACUGUAUUGUAUCUUAAUUAAUUAAGUUGUUAUGUUUAUUACAAGAAUUUUGUUUUGGCUUAGAGGAUUGCUUCUUAAAUUCAUAUUAUUUUAAUGAUAAUAAAAGAUAUUUAUAUUGUGCAAGCAAAAUAAAAUGAAGAGAGAAAGAAAAUAUAAAUGACUUAAUUCUAUUUAUAUUUGUCCUCAAAUGUAAUUGUAGUAUAAUAGGAGUUUUAUAAGAUUAAUGAAGGGGUGCCAAUAGUCGUACUCUUAUAGAAAAUGACUGUAAUAAUAGUGGAAAUUUAGUGUAAUAAAAAGGAUAAACCGUAAGAAAUUAAUGUUUACUUCAAGAUACGUUAUAAAUAUUGUUUUUCUUAAGAUGUUAUUUGCCUCCACCAAUCGAAUGAUGCACAUGAAUUAAGCAAAUAUGCUUCCAUGAUACAAUAAAGUGCUUAUUUAUUUGUUUACGUUGUAUGUCGACGAAGCAAACUUAAAUACUUUUGAAUGUUGUAAACCUACCAAGAAUCAAUAUAUUAUUUCUACAAAAAGAAACAAUAUAUUAGAUAUUUAAAGCAUAAAAAAUAGAUGUUAAUUGAUUAAAUUUGAUUUAGGAAAGACAGCUAAGAAAAGAGUGGUGUAACGUCAUUUUAUUAAUGUUUAAAUAGUCUAAAUAUGACCUCUAUUUGUACAUACACUUAUACCCUAUUAUUUGGAUUAUAUUUUUUUUAUAAUACUCAUGCAUUCAUGGUUAUUAGAUCAAACAAUUAAAUCCCUACUAUAGCUACUUAACUUAUUGACCAGCAACUUAAAGGAUGCCAUAAGGAUUGCCUCUCAGAUGAUUGACAUUUUUUUUUCACUUUUUUUAUAGUUUUUUUUGGUGUGUUUGGGGGAGGGGGGGGGGGGAGUUUAUGAAAAUUAAAGCAAAUAAGAAAGUCAAUUACAGCAGAAUGAGUUUGUGAUUGUGAAAGGUCGAGCAAGUCUACAAAUCAAUUAGACAAAACCCACCACGAGAGUUAAAAUGGAAAAAUAGCGCCCACCACAAAUAUAAAAUUGGAGGAGCUCAAGAUCCUGCCUUUGCUUUACAUAUAAAAGCCAAACCAAUAACCUUGCCUUUGCUUAACAUGAUUAAUUAAGCACUACUUCAGAAAGAAUACAAAAGUAAUGAACCUUGUAUUAAUCUUAAAUUUUAGGAAUAAAGCUACAUUUUCUCCUCUUACCAUCUUUUCAUGUUCAUUUCAAAAGUUUGAAGAGAGUUUAUCCAUUCUUCUUCUAAACUAAGAAAAUCAACAUUCUUACUUUCUUCAAAUGUUGAAUAAAGAAAAAUAAAUUAUUGAAUAAGGAGGAAAUUAGAAUGUAUUUACCUUCGCUAACCUAAAAUAAAAAAAAAAUUAAUCUCUCUUUUAUUACUAAAGUACACUAUUUUUUUAAUAAUUGUAUUGAUAAUGACAAUAUAUAUCAUCGAUUAUAUUCUUGUUGUGUUGAAAUAAGGUAUAAAAAAUUUUGGAUCAAGAGGAAUUCGACUCAUUUGUUAAAGGUACAUAUUUAAUAUACUAAAAACAAAAAUUAACAUAAACAUGAUUAUUACACUAAAGUGAAAUGAAAGCCAGUACCCGCCGGUUCACCAACAGUAAUUUAGCAAACUUUGCAUUCUAGGAAAUGGACAUUGGUGAAUUAACCAAAGAAGACUUCCUUUGAUAAUGCGGGUAACGCCGGUCUGUCAUGGAAUGGACAUUGGUGAAUUCACCAAUGUCCAUUUCAAAGAAGACUUCCUUUGAAAUGGACAUUGGUGAAUUCGACUUCCUUUGACGUUUAGUUGACUAUUUUCACAUCUAGCAGCCCUUGGCGUUUUGUUUUCGUUCGCUCUGUCGUCUUCAUCGCUCUGUCGUCUUCGAUCUUUAUGGCGACAUGGGUAUAUGUGUAUGGUAAACUGUGCGGGUGAAGAGUGUCGACAUGAUGCUGUCACCUUGCUUUAAUUAAUUGCAGUGACGUUAUAAAGUAAGCCUCAAAAAUUUAAAAUCGUGGGUCAAGCCCUGGUGUACAAAUCAGAAGUUGUAACAAAGAAGAAUUUAAAUUUUUUCUUCUUUCUUUCAUGCAUUAGGCUCGUUAACAAUUCAACAUACCAGGGAUGAGGGAUGCAAGGAAACAAUUAUUUGGUUUGAGUGUUUGGUAUUUUCUCGAUUCAUUCAGAAUUUGAUGAGUUUUUCUGUUUAAAUUGUGCGUAUAAUUUUUAUUUUUAAUUUUCUGACGUCGAUAUCUUUAGCAUAGAUUUUGUCUAUGAUACAUUAAAAAAGUUUGAAUCGCACAUGAUUCACUGUGUUGUAAGAGUAAAAUUUCUUCUUAUUAUUUAGAAUUCAUAUUUUUCAACUAAACUUUUAAUACAAUAUAUCGAGACAGAUCCUCGUGAUGCACAUACAUUUUCGCUUUUAGCCGUGCUGCCUGCUCUCAAAUGUACACUUAUAAAUUCCAAAUGAAAAGAAAUUUUGAAAUUGCGCAGCUCUGGCCAGGGAUCACCUUUUUUCCUUGCUAUUAUCUACAAUAUUUAUUUUUGCAAUCCGCAUGCAUGCUCGGUUAUGAUCACCCACGUGAUCGGCAUUAAGUUUUUUUUUAUCUUCUUAUUAACAAAUUAUUUAGUGUGCGGACUCCAUUCAUGCUCCCACGUUAAUCUUUCCAAAUUUUGUGCAAUAAAAGUUCAGCCGAUCCGCUAUUCACUUUGCCACAGUCUGCUACUUCAUUCUAUUUGUUUACUGCAUAUGAAUCAUUAAUCAUAUGAAACCAGAAGCAAGACCUCGCAAAAGCAACUUAAUUACUUCGUGAGUUUUAAUUUGGGAAUUGGAGGUUUCUUCUGAUUUGAACAAUAUGGAAACUACCUGUGCAAGUUUUUUUUUUUUUGGGCGAAUUUCAGUUCAAUAUCAUUUAUAAUUCUUAUUUCAAUAUAUUUAGAAAUAAGUUUAAUAAUAUUAAAUUUUCACUUAAGAAUGACCGGUGGGAGGGUCAAGCAGAUAUGCCUGAUUUGGGUGUUGGAAUAUUUAUAGUGGUCCAUGUGCCACAUUAUUGAAUUAGUAAUAAUUUAGAAUUUAAAUGAUAAAAUAAAUAAUGGGCCAAAAUCUUAUUGGUCAAUUGGGAAAAUCUAACGGCCCACUUUAAUGGAAAGUGGAAAUAAGAGUUUUAUUGAAAUUGAUUUUCUCUCUCUCUAUAUAUAUAUAUCACGUUAAUUUUCGCUCCAUCAAGAAAACGAAUCACUCUAAAGGGGUCAAGAGAUAAAAAUUAAUUUUACUAAUAUUUAAUUUUUUACAGUGAGAUUUAAUCAAGAAGAUUGUUAUGGAUCAAGAUAUGUUUUCUCUCAAUUAUGAUGAUGUGAAAAUCAUGAUAUUUUAUGAUCUUAGGGAUUGAAGUUUAUGUAAAUUAGGGUUUAUUUGCUUUACAAGAGGUGUACAAAUUCUCAACAACUGGUAGCAGAGCAUGGUUUAAGAAUUUAUGAUUUUCUAUUAAGAUCUGUAAUAACCCUUUCUUAAUUUUCAAUUGUCCUUAUGAGUAUAUGUCAAUUUGGAUUAUUAUUCCACAUAUACAUAAUGUAUAAAGAAAAGAGUAAUGAUACUGCCACAAACUCUUGUACAAAUUUAUUUUGUACAAACUGACGUGUCAUUAAUUCACUGGUUGAAUGAAAAUAUAAAUUAAUAAAAACAAAUUAUAUGGGCUAAGUGAUAUUUAAUUCAACCAAUCUUAUCAUGCCUCAUCAAUUUGUACAAAAUAAGUUUAUAUAAGAGUUUGUGACUGUAUCAUUACUCUAAAGAAAAUUAUUGGCAUAGAAAUUUUUUGCACAAAAAAAAAAAUCCAAGAUGUUUUUGACUGUUGGCGGCACAAUACAUAAAGGUGAAAUUAGGUUAUCUUUUGGAUUUUUUCAUGAGACACCCUAAGGUUUGUUUAGUUUAUGCUUUUGGCCAAAGUUUAUAAUUUUGUUUCAUUUAAGUCCAAUUGAAUUUGCAACGGCCAUCACAUGCUGUCUUCAAGCCGAAAUUUAGGAGCAAUUGCAUGUGAAAUUGCAGUGUAGUCCCUGGUAUUCUAUUUUAUUAAAUUAAAGAUAUGAUUAAUUGGAUUUAGUAUGAUAAAGCCGCCGACUUUAUGUGCAUCAAGCCUUAUAAGUUUUGUUCUCGUAAUUUUGAAGCCUCCGCUCAUUAAUUAAUGAUCUCCAAAAUUUCUUAAUGUUCCAAUUUUAAUGUUUGAAAUUUGAAUUGAUGUUUGUGGUUUUAUUUACUUUAUUAAAGAAAUUACUUUGUUAUAAAUGUUCAAUUUGACAUUCAUAUUAUGAUAAUUUGUUAGUUACUAAAGUAGCCAAAUUAGAAAGUUUUCAUAGAUGUCAAAUUAAAUUCAAUUUCAAGUUCUCAUAAUUAUUGUGAUGCGUAUUAUUUAAUGACAUGAUGAUCUUGUUGUAUGAGUAUAUUGAAAUUCACAGAUUAUAAAAUAUUUAGGAAUUGCUCAAAGGUUGAUUAAUUAAUUUUAUAAUAUAUGAUCAUGAUUUGUGGAUAAUUAAUAUGCUUGAUUAGAUAUGUUUAGUAUAUCCAAAGAUAGCAAGCGUGUCUAGUUUAUGUAUAGUUGAUUACUAAUUAUGUGAAAUUAAAGUUAAGCAUCAAUUAUGUUUAUUGCAGUGUAUUGUUGUAUCACCAAAUAAAUUAAGCUUCUUAAUUUUAUGUCAGUAAGUAUUAAUAAAUUAAUAUAGGUAACAUUAAAUAAUUUAAAUUAGCUGUAGAAAAUUUUAAAAUAUUUUAUUCAUAAUAAAAAAUUAGCGAUAUUAUAUCAUGAAUUAAUUAAUAUGUAAAUUAUUUAUUUAUCAAAAUCAUUUUCAUUUAAUUAAAUAUUAAUUGAGGUUUAAUUAUUAGUUAUCAAUAAAAAUUAACAUGGUAUUGUCUUUUUUAUGGUCCUGGCCCCCAUCUCCAAAUUAGAAGCAAUUCUCAAACCCGCCCCAUACCUAAAAGUUCACAUUUGGGGAGCAUCCCCAAUUUUGUGUAUGUAUAUAUGAUUUGGUGAGUUACAAGAAGCAUUACCAGCAAAAGCACAGAAAUGGUUUCGUUUCAGAAGCAAAUAUGAUGCUAAGGAAAGUUUCGUCUUCAGCAUAAUAACUAUAUAAUAUCAUAAUGAAUUGGUGUGCAUUAACCAUGCUCCAGGUUGAUUUGGAAAGUCAUGAUGCUGUUUCCAUUUCAAUUUAGACUCCUUGCUUAUCAGCCAAAUGAUUUAUAAGUAAUAGCCAGUAGAAGUUUUUCUCAAAAUGGAAAUAAGUUGUCUUACUGGGAGAGUCCACAUAUGGUAUCUAAUUUGUGGUGUUAUUAUUUCAAUUGUAAGUUCCCUAAUUCUGGCCAAUGUACAGAUUCAGAAAAUUAUAUUUGGUGAGUUUUUUUUUUUUUUUUUUUUUUUUUAAAGGUUUUGGAUACAACGGCAAGAGAUAGGGAAAAACAACAAAGGGAGAGUCAAAACUCCACAUUAAGCUAACAUUUGAAUUUCCAUUUAUACUUUGCUCCACUCAUUCUAAUGUUUACUGGCUAAUUGUAGUUUAUGGUGUAGCAUCCAAAAAAGAUGACUCGUAGAAUUUAUUCUUUCGGACCACUAAGUAGCUUAAACACACACACACACAAACACAUGUACAUAUGAACGUGUGUGUAUGUAUAUGUAUAUAUAUAUGUAGGUGUGUAUAUAUAGUCCUUCCCUAAUAUAGACAUCUCUUUUUCUUUUUUUUUUUUUCUACAUAGACACACUAUCACUAGUAGAAAAAUAGCCUUCUAUGAUACUAUUUUGGCAUCAACAGCUUAUUUUACUAACACCGAGUCUAGUGUCACUAAUCACGAUGCAAGAAAUUUACUGACACAAAUUUUUUGUGUCAACAAUUCUGUGUUACCUUAGAAUCAAAGAAAUGCUGAUUCCAUAGUAUCAAAAUAAUUGCAAUUCUAUACAAUCAUGUAGAUAGUGAUUCUAUGGUAUGAAGCAAGUUUUGAUGCUCUAAUGUCAUUUAUGUUCUGAUUCAAUAAUAUUGGUAUUUACCAAUGCUAUAUUGGUGUCAACAGUUUUAAAAGUAUUUAAAAAAAAAUGAAAUGGUCAUUAUUACAAUUGUCAAUAAACUGGAAUCAAAACUUAAUAAUCAACAUUUUUGAAUAAUGAUUAUGAAACAAAUGUUGGUAUCAAAAUCCAAUAAACUCCAUUUAACAAUUGCCAAUAGGCUCCAUUCAGUAUUCAAUAUUCAACAUUCAACAUUGAAUAACCAAAUUGGUUCUAUCCAAUAUUCAGUAACCAAAUUCAUCAACCACAGUUUCAAUAGCACAACAAUGCUAAAAACCACAGCUAGUUUCUAAUCUAAAAAAACUACAACUUAUUUGUCAUUACGGCAACCUGAGUGGCAGUACUAAACAAUAAAGGCAAAUGGAAUUGGUGUGCUACCGCUAUCAUUCUCCAUGAUCUUCAAUGGCCUGAAUAAUAGUACCAACAAGAAGCAACGACAAUACUCAAUUCCAACAAAAUCCACCCAACAAAGGAAAAUGGUUCAUCAAAUUUUGAAAAUAGAGAGAGCUUUUGGUGCUCUAUUUCAUAACUUUUAUUUAAUCAAAGGAAAAUGCUUAACAUCUCGAAAGCUGAGAGAAGACUGAGAGAAACGGCAGCAUGUGCUGCCGUUUUGCCUCUCUCCUCUCAGCCUGAUAAUAACUUUUUAUUAUUAAAAAUUAAAAAAAAAUAGCAUUAUGGGGAUAAACAAAAAUUUAAUCAUUCGGGACAAACAAAAGCAAGCAGUCCACGUGCUUUCUGUUUGUCUCACUCUUCUUUUUGUUUUUUUUAAUUAAAAAUAUAUAAAAGGGGAAGAAUUAUUAUAACUUGCAUCUCUCUCACCUACCUCCUUAACUCUCCACAUUAAGGACCUCAGUCACUCGACUCUAUCUGACUUUCUCUCCUCUAAUAACCAGUAAUUUUCACAACAAUUUUCAUACAAUUAAUAUUCCAAACCAAAAAUUCAUCUUUAUCAUCAAAUAAUUACCACCAAAAUUUACAAAACUAAUCCAAGAAUGCACAGGAAAAAAAUUCAUUUUCUUUCACUGAUCAUCUUCUGUAUUUGGUAGCCGGAGAGUUCUGUAUUUGGUGGCCUGAGAGAGUGAAGAAGCGGUGAGGGGUAGUGACGAUUCGGAGAUGAGGAUAGAGCCGAGGAUGAGUAAAGAAGUGAGGUAGGAUGAGUUUGAGCUGUGCAAUAGUCAUGAGUGAGGGAGGAUCGAUAUCUCUCUAGAUCCACUCACACUGAGAGAUCACUAGCUAAGAGAAGAAGAGAGCACUAGCAGAUGCAGUAGUGAGAGAGAAAGGGAGUGGUGAUGGCACGAGAACUGAGAGAGAGAGAGAGAGAGUGUGAUGUUUUUGUCCCCAUCGAGCUUUUUUUUAAUAAUAAAAAAGUAUUUUAUGGCUGAGAGGAAGGAGAGAGGCGAAACGGCAGCACAAGCUGCCGUUUCUCUCACUCUUCUCUCAGCUUUCUAGAUGUUUAGCACUCCUCUUAAUCAAAACAUCUUGGUUUGGGUACGAGGCUGACAAGGUCUCCGAAUCCAAAAUUUUGUUGGAUGUUGGGCCUAUCCUCGAAAUAGUUUCGAUUCUGUUUUUGUGGAUAAUAGCAAGAUAAAAAUUGUGGUGGAUACAGUACAUAACGCGAAACAAAUAAGAUUACAAUUAAAUUAAACGCAAGAAAUUACUUUUCUAGCAAAAGCUUAAUCCAACCCCUCCAUUACUUCUUUUUUAUGGAUAUAUAUUCUUUAAUUAUUUUUUGUUAUUUUACUUCCUGCUCAUCAAGUUUGUGAUGUUUACAACAAUUAUUCAUUUGAAAAGUUAUCCAAUGAUGUCAAGACGUGAAAAUUGAGAAUAUGUAUAGCGAAAAAAGUUUUCUUCCUCCUCCCUUAUUGAUUCAAAUUAAAAAAAAAUUUAACGGAUUUAAUGUGGUUUAAAAGUUCAAUUUUAUAUAACAUUUUAAUGACAUAAAUGGAACAGAUCAAUCACAUAAUCGAACAUAAUGAUAAGAAUCUUCUUGCUAUAUGUGCAAGUUGAAUUAUAUAAUCUUGAUUUUGGAAAAUGUGACCAGAACUGCAAAAAUGAAGAUUAAUUAACCUUGGAUGACAAUGAUUAAUACCCGUCCAUUUCUCCUAAGCUCUGUUUCUUACUUUGAUGCGCACAUGACUUGAAAGCUUCAUCUUCCGCUAACUCCCUUUCGUGAAACGUACUAACAAAUAACAGUAGCCUACUAACAAAUUAAGAAAUAAUCCAAUAUCUUUAGUACAAAUCCAAAUAGUCUCAUUUUGAUUUUGAGCUAGCUUUUUAAUUCCACACUCAGAGACAAAAUUUUGUGAAUUCACAUUAUUUAACAAAAUAAUUAACAAAUUAAUUGUGAUUAUGGUUGACGAUCAUGUUGAUAAGCAUCAUAUACACUAUCGUUGCAUAUUUAGUGAAAUGAUGCAAGGACGAAGUAUCACUUGGCUGUAAGAAUUAGUUACCCAACAAAUUGUGGAGUUUGUUUUAGAUAAAAUAAAUAAAUAAAUAAAUAAUAGAGAGCAUAGUUAAGCCGACAUGGAUAGACUAACUUAAACAAUAUAUUGCACACAAUGAUUAUUUUUAUUAACUUCCUUUUUUAAGAAGACACUGUACACAAAAGUAAAUAAAAAAAAAAAAUCUCUUGUACAGCUCAAGAGAUUUUAUAAGUUGAACUGAGCCAAACAAAGACACUCACACAAUUGAUAGAUAAUGAUAACCCAUCAUUUUAUUUAAUUAAUAUAAUACGGAAAGAGUAACUCGCACUUAACUAGUGUAGUUGGGAUUUCUUCCGUGUUGAGGGACAAUAAAGAGAUCUAUAUUAUCGUUCAUGCUCUCAUCAUUAACAAUACUUAUCAGAGAUAUUGGAUAACCCUCAGACCACUCGACCUUCCCUAAAAAUUCACAACAACAAUUGUAUUCAUUAAUACAUACAUUAAAAUAAAAAUUAUAAAUGACAUUCAACUGAACAUGGCCUGAGAACCUGGAUAAGGAGCUUCCAUGUUCUUCAAAUUAGAAAAGAUAUCUUCUAACUUCUGGUGAACCGUAAUCGAAAUUGAAGUUGCUUUUGUUUCUGGUUUGAUAAUAUGUUGCUGAUGUAUUUAUUUACGAGUCUUCGUAUAGUACAGUGUUGUAUGCAAUACAGCCCCUUCAACAGUAAAAAGGAAACUUGAACAACCGGUAUUUUACCGGUUGUACAUUUAAUAAAUUUUUAAAAAUUAUUUUUAAUGCAGAAAAAAUAAAAUAAAACGUAAAAAAUUAAGGCAAUUUUGUAAAUAUUUAACACAAACAAUGUUUGAGAGAAAAAAAUAUUUUUAAUUUCAACAAAAGUUAAAAAAAUUAAAGUAAGCAUGUCUCGACUCUUUUGUUUUAAUGUCAAUAUAUUAGGUGACAUUCCAAGUUAAUUUCACAUAUACCUAAUUUUGAUUAAACUUUCUCACUAGUUGGUUUGCUUAUCUCCACAUUCCAAGUUUAAUAUUCCCACUAAACUCGUUAAAUACUAAUAUUUUGGGUCAAAUUCCAAUUAAAUUUAUUUCUCGUUAGACAAGUAUCAAAAUUCCGUUAAACUUUCUCCACAUUUGGUUCAUGUGUUUCAACGAUUAUUCUACUAGUUUUUCAUUUAAUAUUUCAACUAGUUUAUCAAGAUUCCAAUUAUAUGGGUUAGAUAUUGAUAUCACUUUUUUUGGUUUGAUUAGUUCUAAAUUUUGGUAAUGUUUUUCCAUCUAUAGGUUCACAUGUUUCAACUUAUUGGUCCACUAAUUUUACGUUUGAUAUUUCUACUAAAUUUGUCAAGUACCAAUAUUUAUUGUUAGCUUCCAAGUAAUUAACAUUCGUCGUUAUUCUUAACAGCAAUGACUAGAAUUAUAAUAAGAACAAUAACGUUAAUACAAUAAUAUAACAACAUAAUAAUAUUUUAAUUGAGAGGAUAAGAAUGAAAUUAUGAAAUUUAGGUUGGGUAAAAAUGGUGAGUAUGAGGAAAUUAAAUUACCAUUUUUUAAGCUAAACAAUUCAUAAAUUCCACAUAUUUCAUUCUUAUUUCUCUUAUAUUUUAACAAAUAAACAUUAUCAAUCGUUUUAAUAUUUUUAUUAAUAAACACGAUAUUAACUACGAAACUAAAAGAUCCCAAAAAAAAAAAAAAAAAACAGAGACGCGUGUAUGCAUUGCUUGUGACAAAUCUCACCCAUGGAAAACUUUGUGAAAGGCAUUUGAAUUUGUGGCCACAUUUAAUGAACGAAACGAUAACUUUAAAAGAAAGUAUGUACUCUGUUAAUUAUUAGGCUUUAGCCUGAUGAUUGCAAUUAGUUUGUCUUUUAAUUAAAUUAUUGCCGACAAACACUAUCACGACCCACGUCCGCUCCUAGUGUGAAUGUGUGUAUAAAUAUCCGCAGCAUAUUAUCAAACCUGAUGCGUGAUCAUCUUUAAGUUUUGGUUACGGUUAAUCAGACGUCAGAAGAUAUCUUUUCUAAUUUGAAGCAGAUGGAAACUCCUUAUUCAGGUUCUUAGGCCAUGUUCAGUUGAAUGUCAUUUAUAAUUUUUAUUUUAACAUUAUGUAUCUACGAAUACAAUUAUUGUUAUGAUUUUUUCAGGUAAAAAUGGAUGGUCUGAGGGUAACCCAAUAACUAUGUACAUUAUUAUUAAUGAUGAGAGCGUGAAUGAUAAUUUGGAUUUUAUUCUCGUCCCUCAAUACAGAAGAAAUCUUGACCAUAGUGGUUAAAUGCUAUAUAACUCUUUCGUAUUAUGUUUAAUUAAUAAUAAAAUGAUGGGUUAUUAUUACCUGUCAAUUAUGUGAGUGUCUUUGUUUGGUUUAGUUCAACUUAUAAAAUCUCUUGAGAUCUAUAAGAGAUUUUCUUUGUUUACUUUCAUGUACCGCGUCUUCUUGUAAAAAGAAAUUAAUAAAAAAAAAUUAUCAUUGUGUGCAAUGUAUUGACUAAGUUAGUGUAUUCAUGUUAGCUUAAUUGUGCUCUCUCUCCUUGGGUUUUUUCUUUAAAAAAAAAAAAAAAAACUCCACGUAUUGUUGGUUAGCUAAUUCUUGCAGGUAGCAAGUGAUCGAUACUUUUCUUUCCCCUACUGCUGUAGCAUCAAAUCCUUACAAUUACAUAUCAAGUGGUAUUCGAGCCGUCAAAUGAUCCAUGGAAACACGCAACAAAUCAAAUGCUGAAUUUUGCGAAGAGAUUCACGAAAUCCUUGCUAUACAUGAGUCUAGUUUUGACCAAGUUCGCGUCACCCAUCAGCUGCGGGUUUGAAUGGUACCUAGUGGAUAUUUUGUGAGUUCCCACUAAUAAAAUCACACUUGCAACAAAACUUAAAAAUUUAAAUUACGUAAUUCAAAUUAUAAAUUUAUAAUCGUAGCCUAAAAAAUCACAUAAAAUACUUAAUUUUAUAUUUUAUCAAUGUAAAUGAGAAAUGAAAGUUUUAACAUUAAAAUAAAUACACAAAAUAUAUCAAUUUAACACAAAUUCUCAAAUUUAAUUACCAAAUACAUAAGUCUAUCGCAACUCAAAGUGCUUUCAAUUGAAAACAAAAAAAAGAGAAAGAGAAAAAAAAAACAAAGAACUACAAAUCAAAGUAGCAGCCAUGACCCAUUUUGCAGUCUCAUUCGAUACCAUUAGCACCCAUCCAACACAAUUUUUCUAAACAAAGUAUAAAGUACAAAAUUACAAUAAGCAUAUCAUACUCCAUGCUUUAAGUUAAAGAUCCUUAUAUAUUUUUAUGAAUAAUUUUUUAAUGAAAUUUUAUGAUUAAAAUUAAAAAUACAAACAUUCAAAUAAGAAUGUCAGACACUUGCGCAACUAUUUACCAAAUUUUUUUCUCUAUAAAAAUCGACCUGCAACUUUCAAUAGGUUUAAAUUUAUAAUAUCAAACCUGAUUGCAGCUCGCAAAAAUUAUCCGUUGCGGCCAAGACUUUGGAUUUGCGAUGAUUUUGCCACCCUAAGUGUAGUUAGUAUUGUAUAUCAUGUGGCUCUUAUAAAAAGCCUAGAAGUUGUUUGAAUAACGGGGGAGACACAUAUCUCCCAAAGAUUUUCUCUUUUUCAAAUUAUUAUUUUUUCUCUAUUAUUGUAACUUCGAAUCCUUAUAAAUUACAAAUUGGAGACAUGAACACAAUGUUUUGACAUAGUGGACUUUUGGCUUGUCCAGAGAAAUUUAGGAUAGAUUUUUACGCACUAAGGCUCUAUUUACUAUUGAGGUUUUAGAACUUUUAAGCCACACUAGAAAUUUGUAUUGUUUUGAUAGAGUUGUAGUCUUUGAUAUGUGAUUGGUAUUAAUCAAGUGUUAUGUUUACAAUAGUUAAAGGCAUAUUGAAUCAAAAUCCACUUCUAAGGGCUUGAUUAAGUGAUUGUAAAGUAGGUUUUUAGUUUGCUAGCCACUCAAGUUCAAAUAUUGGAACCACAGAGCGUUAUAGCCAAGUGAAAGAACUUGUGCCCUAAAAAUUGAGGGGUGCAUAUCGAGUUUUAUCACCAAUAAAAGUUGGUGUUAAAACUUUAAUUUCCCUCCUAUUGAUGGAUAGGGGGUAAUUAGGAGUUUACAUCCCCUCCUAUUAACAGACAGGGGUUAUUAAGAAUAUUAAAAAAAGUUCAAAUAUUGAAAAUAUAGGUAUGGGUUAUAAAAUUCAUAAUAUAAAGACACAAAAUCAAGAUAAAGGUUUAAAAAUUUAGAAUCAUGAGAGCGUGACUUGUAAGUUUCAAAGAAGUAUGUGCAAAUAUAUGCAUUAUUGAUGCCCAAUUAAGGGUGGGCAUUAAGAUCGGGUAAACCCGAACCGAACCGAACUUAAAAUUUAUUUUGGAUUCAAUUUGGUUAUGGUUGAAGCUUUCAACUGAGUUCAAAAUUUAAAAAUGAUUGAGUUGUAUUUAUGUUCGAAUUUAACCCCAAAAGACUAAUCAAUCCAAUCGAGUUAAGUAAGCAAAUUAAGAAAAAAAAUCCCAAAAAAUUAAAACUAACCCUAACUAAAAACAUUCGACCGCGCCCUCCUCGUUUUCUUUUCUUCUUCCAAAACCCAAUCAUAAGUUCAUAACGUUUAGCGUUUGCUAUUACUAUAAUUUUUUUUAACCAAUUUUCACAUUCAUCAACAUAGGCUGACAGAUUUUGUGGAAAAUAAAAUUAAAUAAAAAUACGAGCUCACGAAAUUCCUUUUCCGAUGUGGGAAUCUAUCUACACCUUUCACGUGCUUUCUUUUUCGGUGGUGGUGGGGGAUUCACUUGCUUUUGUUUGCAUUGCCUUAUUGGAUAAAAGUUUGUAGAACAUCGUCUGUUUGGUUAAAGCCGAGCAUGAGUGAAGAAAAAUUAAAAAAAAAUAAUUUCCCAUUAAUUUGCAACAAGUAUUAAUAAAGUGCAUGCGAAAAGACACCAGGAUAUGCCUUUUUUUAAAUGAAAAUAAAUGUCCCUUUAUGAUGCCGUAAUUUUUUUUACGGUAUCAAUAGUGUAAGAAAUAUAGACCGUUAGAUCUAAUCAACGGUAUAUAUUAUUUUUAUUAAUAAAAUUUUUUAAUUAUUUGAAAAUUGUGUUAACCGGUUAACAAACCUAUAAAAUAGGUAAUUUUAAAUUUAAAAUAAAAAAGAAAUAGAGAUGCAGUAAAGUACAAUCUCUCUUUAUCUCUCACGUUCAUAUUUUUAUAAUUGGAUUCUUUAAGAUUAUCUUUGUCUCCUAAUGAUUAGAUGAAAAAGAUUCGAUAAAUUUCUCUUAAUAAAUAUUUCGGUAAAUUUCUUUUUUUUUUUAACAAAAAGCAAUUAAAUUUUCCUCUGGAAAAAGGUAAAGGUCAUUGUAGCACUCAAAUUGUCAUUUUUAACUCAGUUUUUUAAUUGAAGGGAAAAAAAAGGCAAACAACAUAGGCUAAAACACUGUGCUAAAUUUAAUAACCCAAGUUCAGGUGAACAAGACAUCUAGCAAAGUUAUGCAUCACUUCUUCUUCUCUCCACCUCCAGGGGCCCUACUCUUGCGAAGGGCAUUAGACAUCUCCUCCCGCUUCUUUUUUGCCCUCUUGUGAGUGCCAAGCUUUCUCUUUGCAACCUUCAGUGCCCUCUUGUCCUUGCCGACUUUAAGAAGCUCAGUGAUCCUUUUCUCAUAAGGUGCAAAGCCAGCAACUUCCCUAAUCACAGUCCUCACGAAGUGGACCCUUUUGCUUGUUUUCCCUUUGCGAUCUGCUGGGCGUGGCGGCAGUUCCUUCUUCGUCACAAUAUAACCCUUGUUUAAUCCAACAAAGAGACCAGUAUUUGGCUGUUUCGGAGCCAUCACCUCCGACGAAACUGAGUUGCUGCGGAAACCUGAGAUGAGUUGGGAGUAAAUAUUUCGGUAAGUUAUUCUUGAAUGAUUCAGAUUAAAUGAAUGAUUCAGAUUAUCUAUUUACCUGCAACCUGUAAGUUACCUGCUAUAUUUUAAUUAAUUAUCUAAUUAUCCAUUAUAUUAAAUGAAUGAUUCAGAUUAAAACUCUUAUAUCUAAGGGUCCACAUUAGUUCCACUAUCAAUACUGUAAAAAUAAAUACAGCAUCAUAAAGAAAUCCGUUAAUUAAUCAAUUUAAAUGGUAUGACAUUUUGAAAUGACAGAAGCGAUCUAAAGUUUAAAUCUUACUCACACCUAAUUUAGGGUUGGGAAUUAAUUGACGUAAUAUAUAAUAACGAAUUCGAAAGACAAUUAAAAAUUAAAAGAAAAUAAAAAAGUACUUUCUUUUUUAUGAUGGUAAUUUGUUUAGAUGAUGAAAACUCUUAGAGUGGUAUUAUCAAUACAUAGUUUCGAGCGUUGCCAACGUGAAUAAUAUUUAAUUUCCUUUAUCUAGUUAUAUCUCAACUAACAUUUAAACAGAAGUAAGUUGUAAAAAAAAUGAACUAUUGAGAUUUGAGAGAACGAAAAACUAAAAAAAAAAAGUUAAAAAAUUAGAUCUCAAUAAAUUUACUUGAGAACUACUUUACUGAUUAGUGAAGAGAAAACACAAAGAAUAAUGAUGUAUCUCAAUUAAUAGGAUAGUUUUUGUAUUUUUCGUUUAUUCAAGAAUCACGAAACUUCAUUUAAACUUGUUAUUUCAUUGAUAAUAUAUUAAUAUUGAACAAUUAAUGUAGGAGACAUUCCUUUCCAAUUAUGCCCAUAUAUUAAUUAAAGAUCACCAAAAAGUUCAGGGAUACUAUAGUAAUUUAAGUCAACAAUUUCUGUGCUUGAAAUCAGCCGAUCAAACUCAUUUUAGAAUAAACUGAGAAAUCAAAAUCACAUUCUCCGAUUCUAUGAUUUCAAUUCAUCUUAUUUCUUCAACUGAAAAAUUGGUUGUAUUUCGUUUUAUUUUAUUUUUAUUUUUAUAUAAAGAUAAAUAUAAAAUAUAAAUGACGAGGAGACUGUAAAAGUAAAAUCAAAAGAAGAGCACAAGUUUUAUUGAAAAUGACUCUUGUCAUCAUUUUGCCGGAGUGAAUGUAUCUACAUAUAAACUAAAGAAGCACAUUUGUUUGUAUUAGCUUUUUUAUUGUAUUUUUAAUAAUAAGUCAUUUGUCAAUGAACUUAUAUCAAAUUUUUACGAAAAUAAUAGGUGUUAGUUAGAUUAUUCAAAUGGCAAAACCUCUUGGGAUAGAGCUUGUAAUUUAGUGGCUCAUGAAUUGUCUAAAUUGACACUACCGAAUUAUUGUAUUUGGUUAAAAAAGCUCCUACUCUGCUUCAACUUUAUUAUCCUAUGAUGUUUAUUAAUAAAUAACAAUUUUAUUGAAAAAAAGACCUCUUGAAAUGAUACAAAAGAUUUGGGACAUGAAUCUCACUCGAAUUUAGCUUGAGGUUGGCAUUGUUAGCAUAAUAUUUGAAGAUAGAUUUUUUUUUAAUUAAAAAUCAAAAGAUUUUUUUUAAUUAAAAAUCAAAAGAUUUUUUUUUUUGGGGUUCAUACUAGUUAGUUUUAACUCAUAGUGAGAUUUAAACAAAAAUGGAAUAAUAAAUCUUGAUAUCCUGACUCAUGGAUAAUGUAUAGAUAAGAUAGUAAAAUUUAUUGUGUCAAAAAUAAGAGGUCUGAAGUUUGAAUUUCGCUCACAUAGGUAGUAAGAGAAUCAAAUUAUUGAUAGAUUAAAUUAAUUUAAAAAAUUUCUGAUAUCCAAAACAACGUAUCAACAAAAUUGAAAUAAAAGAAAAUUGAAGAGAAAAACCAUUGAGAGAACGAAAAAUUAACACAAGAAAAUUUCUAUAACUAAUUGUAUCAGUGUGCGCCAACUUCACUUAUUAAAACAUGGUUAUUUCAUUUUCAUGGAUAAUCAUUUUGACACCGGUCAAAUUUAAAAGUUUCAAAAAAUAUGGGCGAUUUUUCUUUCCAGCUAUGCCCAUUAACUAAUAAAAGAACCGCCGAAAGGGUUCGGGGAUAGUAUAGUAAUUUAAACUAACAGUUUCUGUGCUUCAUAUCGUCAGAUCAAACUCACACCUCACAAAAGCAGAGAAAUCAAACGGUUUCCGACUCUACGCUUUAAAUUCAGCUUCAUUUCUUCAACUGAAGAAUCGGUCGUCUCUCAUUUUUUAUUUAUUAUAUAAAGAUAAAUAUCUAAAUUUAAAUGGCGAGAAGAGCGGACGAGGAAUACGAUUACUUGUUCAAAGUGGUAUUAAUCGGCGAUUCGGGAGUCGGCAAAUCGAACUUACUCUCCCGAUUUACUCGUAACGAGUUCUGUUUGGAGUCCAAAUCCACUAUUGGCGUCGAAUUCGCCACCCGCACUCUUCAAGUAACUAACUUUUCCUCUUUCACUUCUCUUCAUUUUUAUUAGUUAAUUAAGAUCCAGUUAAUGUAAUUAAUUUUAUUUAAUCUUUUAAAUAAAGUUCUAGAUUAGGCUAACUUAGAUUCAUGUGAAGUUGAAGUGAUUUACUUUCGAUCUCUUUUUCGUCCUAUGUUUAUUUGUACUUACUAUUACUUUUUUUUGGGUUUAAAUUUUCGUUUUUGAAGUGUUUACUGAAUAAAUUUCUGAGCUUUAUUUGUGUAUGCUGAUUGAUUUGUGAUUUUAAUUUUGUGACUUUUUUUUUGGAAUUUAAAUUUGAAUGCUUUUUAAGUUGAAUCUGAUUGUGUUGGGCUGCGAUUUAAUUAAGUCAUCUGUGAGCGCCAAAUUGUGAUAGCUAUAUAUUGGGGUGAAAAUUUGGGAUUUAAAGUUAUGUAUUUAAGAUGCAGUUAAUUCGCAAGUGAAAAUUAUGGGCCGGCAGAUUUUGUCAUUGGAAGACUGUUCUCCACAUGUUGAAGUUAGUGAUGCAAGUUGAAACCAAUCUGUUUAAGCUUGGGGUUUCAUGUCUUGAAUCAAGGCUGUGACUUGGGGUGGGUUGAAAGUAUUAUAGCUUUAGCUAUUCCUGAAGUGAUCUGUUUAGACUCACCGUGAUGAGACCGAGUGCUGUACAGUAAAAUGAAAGGAAGUUGGAAAAUAUUUACUUAGCAUUUCGCGUUACUAAUGUUGAACUAAUAAAACCUAGCCCCUAUCCUAGUGAAUUUAUCUUAAAAUAAUAGCAAUAAUAAGUGGACAAAGCUAAGUUCCAGAGGUGAGAUAGGAAAUUCUCCCGCACGACACAGCACAAACAAACUUUCCCUUUCAUUUUCUUUUCUUUUCUUUUUCUUGCUCUCCAAACAGAGCAAAAGUAACGUCGCAAGAUUCUUCACUUCCAUCCAAAAUCAUGAGCAACGAAUAGCGAGCCUCCCUGUUUCCUUCCUUUUUUUGAUAUUAACAUUGUUAACAUCUACUCAUUUUCAUUUGACAAUACUUCAAUUUUUUUAAUUUUUGGCUUUUCAUUUUUUUUUGUUGCUAAACCGAUUAUCUGUUCAAGCUGUUGCUUAUCGGAGACUCGUCCAUCGGAAAGUCCUGCCUGCUGCUCCGAUUUGCUGUCUGUUGACUUUUCCUUUUCCUCUUUAUUUUCUUUUUUUUUUUAUAUAAAUUACUUUCUAUUUUAGCUUUUUGUUCUUUGAAUUUGUGUUAUUAAAAUGAUAAUUUAGAUGGUAAAUAAUUGUUAUUCUUGGAAAUUUCAGUUUUCAUUACGUUAAUUACUAGUUUUUAGGUUUAUUAAUGUAAUUUUUUUUUUAAUUUUUCAGGAUGAUUCUUAUGUCGACAGCUACAUCAGUACCAUUGGAGUAGAUUUUGUGAGUCUCUCUUCUAUAUAUAUGUAUAUAUGUGUAUAAGUUAUAGUAUGAGUCUAUGUACGUGUAUGUAUGUAUGUGUAUGCAUAUGUGGAAAGAAAUGUUGGCAGACUUCAGCAUUUUACUUUUUUUUUUUUUAUUUUGGCAGAAAAUAAGAACUGUGGAGCUGGAUGGGAAGACGAUCAAACUGCAGAUUGUGAGUCAAAAUUUCCUUUUAUCCUGUAUUGAGAGAAAUUCGACUUGUCUUAUUUAGUGAAGGUUAUGUUCAAGAACCUUGUGUUAUUUUCUUUGUUUGAAGAGUUAUAUGUCUUUUAAACAUCAUUUAGGUAAUGUCUGAUGUUUGAUUGUUUUUCAUCUGUUUAGUGGGACACUGCUGGACAGGAGCGAUUCAGGACUAUAACUAGCAGUUAUUACCGAGCCCAUGGAAUCAUAGUAAGGAGCCUUCCCUGUUCUUGGUUUAAAUCAGAAAGUUUGUGAUUUACAUGUGACAUCUUAACAACAUUGUAUGUGUUUAUUAACUUAUUUUUCAUCUUUCAUUAAGCAGUACAUUUUCCAAUAAAUCUGUAUACAAGAUGAUGUAGUCCAAGAAUGGGAGCGAUAAUAUGAUGCAUAUUGUCUAAUAAAUUCUUAUGACAUAUGAUGUUGUCGGAAGUAAAAGUCUUGCAAUGCUGUAUUCUCUUUUAAGAAAGAAUAAGUGAUACUUUUGUUUUUCCAAUUUUUUAAUUGAGCAACUGUGUGAGAUUAAUUAAAUGUGUUUGGAUUUCAACAGAUUGUCUAUGAUGUAACUGAGAUGGAGAGCUUCAAUAAUGUCAAGCAGUGGUUGAAUGAGAUUGACAGAUACGCAAAUGACAGUGUAUGCAAGCUUCUAGUUGGGAACAAAUGCGAUUUAGCUGAGAACAAGGUUGUGGACACAUAGACAGCCAAGGUAUAUUCGUGACUUCUGUCGCCUGAACUUUGAACAUAAUUUUAAGCUCUUCUCAAGUGCAUUUGCUUGGUAAGUUUCUGCAUACCCAGGACGCUCAAACUUUGGACAUUUUGUAUCUCGAGUUGGAAUCUUUUCUGUCAAUACAACUUGUUAAAAUAAGGGUUAUUAUCGUUUGAAUCCUUCAAGAAUUGCAAUAAAUCUAAAGUCCAUAAAAAAUAUGAUUCCAUCAUUUUACUAUUAUAUCCAGACAAAACCCAUUAUUUUACUACAUUUCAUUAGCACCGAUAGUUGACCUGUUGGCUGACUGAUAAAAUAUCAAUUUUGCACUUUAUAUUAAUUCUUUUUUGGUUAAAAAAUAACACACAAAGUAUUACAAUAUUAUAAAUUCAAAAUAUAAAGUAGCUACAAAUAAUUGCUAUUAGCCUAUGAAUUUAAUAUUUGAUACCUCUAUUUGUGUAAUUUUUUUCCAAGAGUGAAAUUGGUAUUUUUUUUGUACUAACGGAAAUGUAGUAAAAUGAUAAGUUUUGUAAAGAUAUAGUAGUAAAAUGAUAGGCUAAAAUACUUCUUGUAGUUGUUUGAUAUAUUGUAAUUCUUAAAGUAGUCAAUUGAUAAUAUCCCCUAAAAUAAAUGUUCGUAAUAUGUUCUCAUUUUAAUGCAACUGAUUGUUUAAUAAAAUUGUAUUUCUUUGUUAAUCUUUUUUCAUGUGCAUGCUCAGUGAGAAUUUGACUUACUAGAACACAAGUUUGACUCUUCAUUUAAAUGUCUCUUGUAUCAUAUCCUUCAAUGUUGAGUGUGAUUCCAAUAAAAUUGAGUAGGGGGAUCCUUAAAUACCUUUUCCUAUUUUCCAAGGGCCUGCCAAAUUGCUCUAAGUGGUUCUACCCUUUAUCAAUGAAUAAUGAAAAUAAAAUUUUUAUUAAAGCAUUUUGUUCCUUAAAUGGUGACUAAUAGUACCCCUUUUUUUGGAGAGGAAAGCCAAACAUGCCCAAAGAGAAUCAUUUACUUUCCUCUAAUGUAUUUUCUAAUUCGUUUUGAGCCUUGAAUGUCUGUUUUGGUGCGUAUUCUCAUUCCAUGUCGAAUCUUAUCCAUAUGGACAACCCCACUUACAAAAAAGUCUAAUGAAUCUAUUGAAGUUCAUAUGAGGUUUGUGCUUUAGAUUUAGACCUCUCUCUCUCUCUCUCUCUCUCUCUCUCCACUUACAUGUCUUUCACUUACCUGUUUGCAUGCAUGCCCAUUCACACACUUUCAAGAUAAUACACAGUCACUCGUACUUGUGUUUUGGUUGAAUUACUGGCUGCUAACCUCUGUGAUUCAGUUUGAAACUUGCCACCCUUAGUGCUUCACUCAAAUGGUUGGUUAGGGUGAGAUCUGUAUCGUUUUCCUGGUCUCUUUCCAAGGUUAUCUAAAGGGAUUUGCCAGUCUGAUUCUUUUGGGAAUAUCAUUGCAUAAGAUAUCUAUUGUUUGUUAAUGAAUAAUUUCUAUUUAACUAGUUAUCUAUAUAAAUUGGUCAAUUUUAACUGCAUAAUUUGCAUGCAAUAAGAUUUUAUAAGAAUCUUGUUUUCAACUCAUGACUUAGACUAAUGUGAUAUGUUGAGCAUUAAGCUACAAGAUCUGCACAUCAAAGUGCUUCACAAUGUUAAGGAGAAAGCAUCUUUUUCUGCUUCUUCAUCUGAUUUAAAGUUUCCAAGGUACUUAUCCAAUAAAAUAUCCUUCAAGACUUUGGAAAUGCUUUUAUGUAUGACUGAGAGAAACUUGUUGGGUUGGUUUUUAGCAACAGACGGAGUUAUGGACUUUGUGUUGACUUGUUAUUGAUUAAGACAGUACAUCGGCUGAUCUAUUGGCAUCAAGCAGCAGAUGCAGAAAUUAUGGGUGGCAUACCAUUGUAUCCAAAUAACAUACUACAUUGAUUUUUCUGACUUUCUGUUGGUCUCCGAGAAAUGCAGGCAUUUGCAGAUGAACUGGGGAUUCCUUUCCUGGAGACGAGUGCCAAAGAUGCAAUCAAUGUGGAGCAGGCUUUCUUGACCAUGGCUGGCGAGAUUAAGAAAAAGUAAAAUCACUUAACUCUUUCCUUCUUGCCGACUGUUCUUAUUUAACAAUCACCAUUAUUGCUGGUUAUAUGCAUUGUGAUGAAAAUUCUGCAAUGAGUAACUUUUUACCUAAUGUUUUCUGUUGGAACAAAUUACUCUGGUAGAAAAGCCCUACAGGGUUUGAGAAAUCCCAUGAUGUGAUGAUUGUGAGCAUUUUAGACACCGUGUAUGGGUUUAUUUUGUGACUAUAAAAUGUUAAGAUUGUUUCUAGUUUUGGUUUGUAGUGCAUAAAAGGAUUCAAAAUUUGACAUCUGUCUAAAUCAGAUUAAUAACAUGAUAAUGUACAUAUGCAAGAUGUGAGGAAUUGUUUUAUCUCACCCCUAAACUUUAAGAAAUUGAAACAUUAUUAUUCAAAAUAUUUAACAUUUCCAGAAUUGAUAGUUGUCUAUUUGAGCAGUGACUGGUGGUUAUCAUGAACUGAUGUGUGGUUGUGGUUUCAAAUCUUGGUGAAACCUGUUGUCAUAUGCUGAUUAACAUAGCUAGUCUCUGAAACAAUUUGUUGAUUCACUAAUUAUGAGUUCAAAUUUGAUGCAGAAUGGGCAACCAGCCUUCUGCAAACAAAUCUUCUGGAACAGUUCAGAUGAAGGGAUAGCCAAUCCAGCAAAACUGCAACCGCUGUGGUUAGCCGAGCAUCUUAUUUUACUUCUACAUGUUAGCUGACUGAUUGUAGACAGUUUUAACUAUGUUGACUGCAUUAUCUUAUGAAUCUUUUAAUCUGUCAAAUAUUUAUUUCCUGGUUUAAGUUCUUUCCCGUUUAUAACAAAUUUAAUUUCUUGCUCCAUUGCAUUCCAAAUUCCUGUCAAUUUACGAGGGAAAAGGAAAAGAGAGACAAAAUGGGAGAAAAUGGUCAAAUUUGUUAGGGGGAGAGAGCUGUUCAAGUAGUUUUUGUUCUCGUUUAUUGUCAUAUCGGAUGGGUAAAGUUACCGAAACAGCGUCAUUUUGGGUGAAUUAUCAUAUUUAUGUAACACUUUUGAUAAUAUUUUUAUGCAACAAAAAAAUGUUAGUACCCUUUUCACAUUGUGAAGCGCAUGAUCGGAUGAGAGCAGUCUGUAUUCUGGCAUCACAAGCUAAUGCUUUGAUUUGCUUAGUUUGUUUUUUUUUUUUUCAUGGAAUUUGGAGAUGUUGUACAUGUAUGAAGAUGACGUAAUAAAGUUGCUUUGAUAAAUUUCCCUGGUCGGUUUACUUCACUAACCAUUAAUGCGCAAAGCCUCCUAAUGACCCUAAAAAAUCCCGUACAUAAUUAAAGAAUUUCAAUUUUAUACGUACAAAAAUAAAUAACUCUCAAAUAUAUUAUUUGAUAAUUCCAAAAACAGCAAUUCAUUCUAAUAAAUCUCGUAGGAAAUACAUGGUCUAUAUUGCAAGUUUUUUUUAGACUAAUUCAAAGAGAAAAUAUGAAGGACAUAUAAUUGUCCUUUAAUUGUCAUAAAGAACUCUAAAUAAAUUCUUAUACGCAUUGCAACUAAUUACAGCCUUGAUACUUCAUUUGGUUUUUGUUAAUUUUCUAUACAGUUGUGUUGUGCAUAAAAGUUUUGUUAAAUGAAAUCGGUAGGUGAGGGUUAAUUAAUCAAUUAAUUAAGAUCCAGUUAAUGUAAUUAAUUUUAUUUGAUUUUUUUAAUUCGAGUUCUAAAUUAAUCAAUGAAUUUAGAUUCAUGUGAAAUUGAAGUGAAUUAGUUUCGAUCUGUUUUUCGUCCUAUGUUUGUCUGUGUUUACUCUUACUUUGUUUUUUUUGUUUAAAUUUUGUUUUCUUAUUGUUUACUGAAUAAAUUUCUGAGCUUUAUUUGAGUAUGAUGAUUGAUUUGUGAUUUUAAUCUAAAUGUGUUGGGCUGCGAUUUAAUUGAGUGAUGUGUGAGCGCCAAAUAUUCAAUAACUGAUAAAUUAUAUUUAUAAAUAUUAAUAGCGAUGGCACAUAAACAAUUAAUUCAAGAACUUGCCCAUAGUGAUUAAUUUAAAGAGUAUAAGUAACAUCGCAAUACAGUCUAGCCCUUACAUGUUUAAUUAGCAAUUGAAAACUACUGUUGCUGAUGAGGUAGAACAUUAUAACACUGUUGCUGAUGAGGCAGCUGGUAAUUCUUCUGGUGAAGAUAUUAAGACUAUUAAAGCUGAAAUGUAAUUAGAGAAAUAUAAUGCAUUCCCUUAGUUUGCUUUUUGUUUUUUAUAUUUGUUUGGCUAAUGCUUUGCUUAGAUUGCUUUUUGUUUUUUGAGAUUUUAUUGGCUUAGUCGUGGGGUAUUGUUUUCUCUUCUAAUUUCUAUUUUUGUUGUUAUGGGAUUUGAUUGUGGUGUACAUAUACGAAAAUUAUGUAAUCAAAUGCUUUCAAUAAAUUAUUUAAAUUAGUUUUCAACUGAGAUUUGAAUUUUGAAAUUACAUACACAAACAAGCCCAUUUUUUUUAAAUACUAAUAAUAAAAUAUUUCAUUUUUCAUCUAUUACUACAAGAGGUAUAAUCGCAAAAGUGAGGAAGGCAGUCAUCCUCUGUUCAAUUAUCAAAAACUCCUUUUACCAUCCAUUUGAACAUACACAAACACGCCCAAUUUGAAAAAAAAAAAAGUAGUCAUUUUAAAAUAUUUCAAUCGUCCACUGUUCAGUCACCAAAAACUCCUUUUACCAUCCAUUUCAACGCCUAAUUUGAAAAAAGAAAAUACUAAUAAUAAUAAAAUAUUCUAGUCGUCCAUCCUUUUACAAAUCAAAAAUAUCACCAAAAACCAAUUUCCAAUCUAUUUCAAAACAAAUUUUGCCAAAGUCCUCCUCGGCUAAUUAAUUCAUACAUUAAUACAGUCCUCCUCUGCUGAAUAAUGCAAACCCGUUACGUUAUUCUACCAUUUCUUAAAUUUAAAGCAUUCCACCAUUUAAUAAAAAAAAUUCGAAAACCCAUUAUAUACAAUACAAAAAGCCCACCGACACCAAACCAUAUUAAUUUAAAAUAGUUUUCAAUUGAGAUUUGAAUUUUAAAAUUACAUACACAAACACACCCGAUUUAAAAUAAUAAUAAUAAUAAUGCUAACAAUAAAAUAUUUCAGCCGUCCUCUGUUCGGUCACUAUUCACUAAAAACCAAUUUACCAGCUAUUACAACAAGAGGUAUAUGGGUUAACAAGUCCCAAUAUUGUCCUCCAUCCUUUCUGCACUUCUCUUCCAUCAACGGACAUCUCCAGAAAGUAUUUGAGCUUGGGACAUCCCCUGAGAAACAAUGAAGUGAGGUUUUGAAGAUCAACAAUUGAAGAAGAUAGGCGUUCCAGAUUUGGAAAAUUGAAAAUCUUCAGAGACGUUAGAGAGGCAGGAAGAGGAAGCGCGGUCCCUAAUCUUUUGUCCUCUAGUGGAAAUGACACCAUGUCCUCAUCACAUCCACUGAUUAAAAGAUAUCGCAGAGAGGAGAAUCUGUGAAAUCCCCGUCCCCGCUCAAUCAUUGACUUCCAAAUCUCCAUAUUACCCCAAAUAUUAAGUGACUGAAGGUUGGUGGGAAGGCCAUCUUCUUCUUCAAGGCUUGGAAGCGCACCUCCUUUUCCUAUUGUUAAGUCUUGAAGAGAGCUCAGUUUGUGCAAUCCCUUGGGUAAGGCCUCUAGUCUCUUACAAUUAGAUAUCGCCAGCCUCCUGAGUUUCGCACAAGGCAAUCCCCCUUCGGGAAAGGACACCAGAUUUCCACAACUCUGUAUAUCAAUCUCUCGAAGCUGGUGGAGUUUAUGUAAACCACUCG